CCCUUAGAUGUCCUGAGCCGCACGCGUGCUACACUGACACCUGCAACGAGUUAUUCCAGCUCCGAAAGGCAGUUGGUAAUCAGAAAUAGGUGUCGUGAUGGGGAUAGACCCUUGGAAUUAUGGAUCUUGAACGAGGAAUGCCUAGUAAGCGCACGUCAUUAGCGUGCGCUGAUUAAGUCCCUGCCCUUUGUACACACCGCCCGUCGCUCCUACCGAUUUCGAGUGGUCCGGUGAGCCUUUUGGAGAGUGAGCGUCCUUGAGGCGCUUGCUCGAAGUCAGGCAAAUCUUACUACUUAGAGGAAGGAUAANUCGUAACA
rnacentral:rRNA from 1 species